rnacentral:tRNA from 1 species
GUAGAAAUAGCUUAAACGGUAGAGUGACUAUUUGUGGCAUAGUUAGGUCCAGGUUCGAUUCCUGGUUUUUGCCC